CGCAUAACUCCAGGAACGUGUUUUUUCUUUUGCAGGGGAGAGCUAUUAAUGUAUGUCCAUUAAGUUGAACCCCUUAGUGACAAGAUCGCUUUUCAAUUUUCUUACCGUUUGGGACCAGGGCUGUUUUUAAAUUUCUGCGGUGUUUGGGUUUAGCUGUCGUUUUCUUACUCAUUUACUGUACCCACAGAUAUUAUAUACUGUUUUUCUCGC